rnacentral:misc_RNA from 1 species
UCAAACUUGGUCAUUUAGAGGAAGUAAAAGUCGUAACAAGGUUUCCGUAGGUGAACCUGCGGAAGGAUCAUUAUCGUAACGGGUGGAUUGCUAGUCGACCGUGCUUGGGUUGGGUAACGACCUUUGAGCCGGUUACUGCUUUCUGCUCUUGUCCCAUUACAACCCCUCUGUGAACUAUACUCGAUGAUCUCGGAUGCAUAGGAAGUCGAGCCUUUGGGCCGGCGCUAUCGAUCCUCUUGGGUGGCAACGCCUUACGGUCGGAUUUGGGUUUGCAUUCGUGCUAUCCCUGUAGCCUUAGCGGAUGAGGGAUUCGUUUCAAAUACUCUUAUGUCUAGAAAUGUCUUGUUUCUUAUGAAACUUUAUACAACUUUCAACAACGGAUCUCUUGGCUCUCGCAUCGAUGAAGAACGCAGC